UGCAACAUCAAUCUUGAAACUAUCCAAUUCUUUUAUCUCUCUCUUCUUUCUUCAUACUUCCAAAAUUGCUAUUUAGAUUUCUUCGGACAUUCAAAGAAGUUUCAGCUCCCUUCAAAGAUCUUACAAUUUCAGUUCUUUAGCAUUUGCAGAGGAGAUAAAGGCCUAUUAUCUCAAGCAGUCAAAACAAAUGGUUGGUUCGGGGAAAGCGUAAUAGCUAAGCCAUGGAUUCUUGGUUGGGUCAGAAAAGUUCUUCUCUUUCAGCGAUUGUUACACCUUUUUCCCUGUUAUUGUAGGAUAACUUUGAAUCCGAAGUUUGUUCUGUGUUAAUGAAUUUAGAUGUUCUCUCAA